rnacentral:rRNA from 1 species
CAAGUUAGUGGCGGACGGGUGAGUAACACGUGAGCAACCUGCCUUUGAGAGGGGGAUAGCUUCUGGAAACGGAUGGUAAUACCCCAUAACAUACAUUUAAGGCAUCUUAGAUGUAUCAAAUGAAAUUCGCUCAAAGAUGGGCUCGCGUCUGAUUAGAUAGUUGGUGAGGUAACGGCCCACCAAGUCGACGAUCAGUAGCCGGACUGAGAGGUUGAACGGCCACAUUGGGACUGAGACACGGCCCAGACUCC